GAAUACGAACGCGGGGGUCUCUAAUGUGAGGCUGAGAUUACAGCGCAAGCUGUUGACCGAUUGAACCUGUUGGAUCAUGCCAGCGCAGGGAAGGUGUUUGAAUGGACG
rnacentral:ncRNA from 1 species